GAGACGUGAAUGAGAGGAACACAGUAAAAGGGUUUAGAAAAUUUAACAUCUUGGGGACAAAUACCAAAGUGAUGAAUAUGGAGGAGUCGAAUGGAAGUCUGUCAGCAGAAUUCAGACAUCUGCAAUUGAAAGAGCAGAAGAAUGUCUCCAGAACUAAUGAGG